UUGGAGGGCAAGUCUGGUGCCAGCAGCCGCGGUAAUUCCAGCUCCAAUAGCGUAUAUUAAAGUUGUUGCAGUUAAAAAGCUCGUAGUUGAAUUUCGGGAUCAGUACGUUGGUCGUGCCUUAGGUACGUACUGGUGUUACUGGUUCCUACCUUCUGACGAACCAUCAUGUCAUUCAUUUGGUGUGGCGGGGAAUCAGGACUGUUACUUUGAAAAAAUUAGAGUGUUUAAAGCAGGCUCGCGCUUGAAUACAUUAGCAUGGAAUAAUGAAAUAGGACGUUGAUCCUAUUUUGUUGGUUUCUAGGAUUGACGUAAUGAUUAAUAGGGAUAGUUGGGGGCAUUAGUAUUCAAUUGUCAGAGGUGAAAUUCUUGGAUUUAUUGAAGACUAACUACUGCGAAAGCAUUUGCCAAGGAUGUUUUCAUUAAUCAAGAACAAAAGUUAGGGGAUCGAAGACGAUCAGAUACCGUCGUAGUCUUAACCAUAAACUAUGCCGACUAGGGAUCGGAUGAUGUUAUUUUUAAUGACUCAUUCGGCGCCUUACGGGAAAC
rnacentral:rRNA from 1 species